rnacentral:rRNA from 1 species
UACAGAGGUCUCAAGCGUUGUUCGGAUUCAUUGGGCGUAAAGAGCUCGUAGGCGGUUUGUCACGUCGGAUGUGAAACCCUGAGGCUCAACCUCGAGACGUCGAUGGAAACCAUCUAGCUAGAGUCCGGAAGAGGAGAGUGGAAUUCCUGGUGUAGCGGUGAAAUGCGCAGAUAUCAGGAAGAACACCCGUGGCGAAGGCGGCUCUCUGGUACGUGACUGACGCUGAGACGCGAAAGCGUGGGGAGCAAACAGG